GUGAAAUGAUUUUAUUGCUUACAAAUACUGAGAAUAACCUUUUAAGCAGUUUAAUUAAAACAUUUUGUUUCAUUGUUUACAUAGAGGGGGGUUUAUCCAGUGGCUGAAGCCUUUAAAGUUUGAUGCUUAACAUCCUGAGUCUGAGAAAUAUUUGAAAUUCAGUUAGACAACCGCAGUGUGUACAAGACCAACUGCAACAGUUCAACGGCAGUCUUGUUUUGAAGUCCCCUUCCUGCUUUGAGGUGAAGAACAAUAAAUACAUUGAGGCUGUCCACAAAGUCUCACAAGAGACUGAAGGAAAUAGGAGGAGUACAUAAUGACUUAGCUUCGGUAUAUCUUAGUGCGCUUACAACUGAAAAGGCCAUGAAGACGAGCUUGGCAUGCCUUCUUAUUUUCAUUCAGCUCUUUGAAGCCUAUGCAGAGUUGAUCUUUCGGCAGCUGACAGAGAGCCAGUCACUGGAGCUCUCCUGCUGCCCUCAGCAGGACCACGGCAGCCUGACGGGCCUCCACCUGUACCACCGCAGCGGCCAGAGCCAGACGACCCUGCUGUCCAUGGCCGUGGGCGGUGAGACGAGGGUCGACCCGGAGCACAUAGGGCGUCUGCAGCUCGGAGGAGGUCUGGACUCCCUGCAGGUCAAUGUGACCAUGUCCCAUUUACAGCGCAGUGACACGGGACUGUACAUGUGGGAGAUGAGCUACAGAGAGGAGAACAGCGCUGAUCAGGUCAUCCUCAGUGAUCAAAAGGUUUUCUUGUUGGUUGAAGGUACAGGAAGGUCAUGCCAGUGCUCUGCCAGUUACCCUCCUCUGCUCUUGACCAUCUUUACAAUAGCGGGACUUCUUCUGCUCACACUCAGCUGGCUGGCCAUAGAGAAAUGUGUGAAGGCAAGGCAACAUCACAGACCACAACCUCCAGUUCCUAUCUAUGAGGAAAUGACCAGGAAGCAGCAGAGUGUCGGAAUACCCCAAAAUAACCUGGAGGCGACCCCACACCUGGAGGAAGUCAACUUCCCCGUCUACGCUAACCCCAACAUCAGACAACCACAGGACAACUACUACGCCUGUCCCAGACAGCUCGCUCUUAGAGUCUGA
rnacentral:lncRNA from 1 species